ensembl:lncRNA
AGGAAUCAGUACACACAGAAAAGUGUUUAAAGAAGCUCUCUGCUGAGCAUUGAUCCUCUAUCCUUGUAUUCAACAUAGGACUUGCAUUAUGGCUGUAAUGAUACAGCUCUUGAGCUUAUGCUUACUGGUUCUGCUUGUGGGUGAGUGAUGCAUUCUUAAAAGCAGUUUUAUGGCUGGUGUGGCUUUAAUGGAGUUAAAAUGUUAAACAUGUUAAAACUGAUAGAUGUGGACAGCAGAAGAAAUGUUAGUAAUCCUAUUAAAAUGUGUUCUACUCGCAACCAAAUUGUGUUUGACCACCAGUUUUUAUUUACUUUACUUAAAACCUGAUAAUAAGAAUGUAUUUUCUCCUGCCUUUGAUUAAUAAAACAAUAGCCGAACCAUGUUCCUUUCGAGGAAGUCUAAUAGCUAGGAUUUUAUUUGGAAAAUAUUUAUUAUUUAAUAGUAUGUGUGCUAUUAUUUAAUAUUAUUUCUGCUUUCUGUUUCUGGAGCUCUGUCCUCUACUCUUAUGCCAUCAAAUCUCCAUUAUGUCAUUUUAAUUUUGCAAUGAAACACAAUUGGAUGUGAUUAAAGAACAACAGUGAUCGUUGGUUAUAUUAAUAGCAGAAAGUGCUGCACCAUGCCAGAGAUUUUAGAAAUUAAAAAAAAAAAAAUCUCUAUAUUGCGACAAAGAAUAGAAUCCAUAAAUGACAUAACCCAUGGUCCCAACCUUAAACAGUGCAAGGAAGCCUGGAAGGGUAGAAUGUAAUACUGAAAGUGUAGUGUCUGGAAUAAAACUAUUCAGUACCUUUAUUAUACUUGCAUAGUCCACUGGAUAAUUAAUCCCUCUUUUGGGUUCACUCGGAUUGGUGUAAAUCUUGUUUAGACAUUUUUAGACUCGUUUUUGGUGACUGUUCAGGUAGUAUUACUGAUUUGGGUGAUGCACAGAAAGGUAUGUCAUGGAUUUUUUAAAAAUACUGUAACAACUAUAGUAUUUUUUUUCAUGUUGCCCUCUUUUUUAAAAGACAAGCUCUUUUUCUAUCAUUUAUGUAUUUAAUUCUAGCUUUUGGCAAACAAUUUAGUAUCAGUGUGUACCUGAUUCAGCUCAUUAACAGGCUUCAAAAAGCUGAGAAUGUCUUUGCUUGGGUUAAAGUGCAUUUCCUGGUCUGUAUUACACCGUGCCACGUCUGCAUAGUGACAAACAGUAAAACUUAAACAUAAUAUUGAUGUGAUAACCGAACAUAAAAAACAUAAAAUGAUUUAAAAAAAAAAGUAGUCAUAAAGUAUGGCUUAAACAGGACCCAAAGAGAGGAUAGUCACAAAUAAUUUAUUUCAUUUAUAAUUCUUGAUAUCUAUGUUUGUGAAAUGAGAGACAACUCCCAACUGUCCAAUGAAUUAUUACCAUUUUUUCCUAAACAAGACAAAGUUCAAGAUUUUUUUGACUGGUGAUUGUUCUUCCAUUGCCUAUAAUGAUAGCUGAUUGCCUAUUGCCUAUAACUAUAGCUGAAAUGAUUUAAAGUAGUCUUACUCUACAUUCUAAUGAAUAAAAUAACAUUCAGUAAGGCAGAAUGAAUGUGCUCUGACAAAUACAGUAAACAUCCCUGCAGUAGUGCCAUUGUUCCUGCUAGGAUUCCGAUUCUCAGCAAGAUUAACAGAAUUGUGUACAUCUACAAAAAGGAAAAUAAAACAGUUGGUGUAUGCAUUUUGGCACUCACAUAAAAGUCCAAUCAAUGUAACGUAGGCAAAUAAUCUCCCACUGGAAGUAGGUAUACAUUUUAAAUAUGGAAAAAGUACUGAGAGAUUAUACUUAAGUGAAAGUAAAGAUAAUGUGCCAAAAUGUUACUCAACUAAAAAUGAAACCAUCCAGCCUGGAAAAUAUAAAGUGAGAAAAGUUAUAUUAAAAAGUAAACAGGAAAAGUUUUACCUGAUAAUAGUGAGACAAUUAAGAAAUAAAGAUCAAUUAAUUAGGUAAUAUCAUGUUUUUGUAUGCAAAGUGCAUAUUUUCACUUACUUAAAGGUGUUAGUUUGAAAGCAACCACACCAUUUUACCUGAACACUUUGUAGGUAAAGCUUGCUGAUUGAAGACUGGAACAAUCACCAAGUGAUUUUUCCAGUUUGGGCGAGUCUGUGCCCACGAUAGCCUCAGAUCCUCACUCUUGGCUGACAGGAGUGGAACAUGAUGAUCUUCUGCUCAUCUCACCAAUUCACUUCAAGUUUGGAUGCUUUGUGCAUGCUGAGAUGCUUUUCUGCUCACCACAGUUGUACAGAGUGAUUUUAUGAGUUACAAUAUCCUUCCUCAAAGCAAUCUGGCAAUUUAUCUCUGAUGUCUCAUCAGCAAGGUGUUUCCAUCAACAGAACUGUUGCUCACUCAGUGUAUUAUGUUUUUUACACCAUUCUGUUGUGUGUGAAAAUCCCAGGAGAUCACUAGUUUCUGAAAUGCCCAAACUAGCCCAUCUGG